ensembl:snoRNA small nucleolar RNA SNORA43
GCUGCCCUGGACCUGUCAGCACCACAGGUGUGGCGGCUCUGCUGCGCCUGUGACAUCAGGGGCAAAGAGGAAGUGGCUAUUUCUACACUCAGUGUUCCGACCAGUGAGCACUAAGAAUGGUUUAUAGCCUGACAGUC